rnacentral:tRNA from 1 species
GGAGGGUUGCGCCGAAUGGUAAGGCAGCAGUCUUGAAAACUGCGGUCCCGAAAGGGACUUGGAGGUUCGAGUCCUCCACCCUCCG